rnacentral:rRNA from 1 species
AACGAACGCUGGCGGCGUGCUUAACACAUGCAAGUCGAGCGGUAAGGCCCUUUCGGGGGUACACGAGCGGCGAACGGGUGAGUAACACGUGGGUGACCUGCCCUCAGCUCUGGGAUAAGCCUGGGAAACCGGGUCUAAUACCGGAUAUGACUCCAUGACGCAUGUUGUGGGGUGGAAAGCCUUGUGCGGCUGAGGAUGGGCCCGCGGCCUAUCAGCUUGUUGGUGGGGUGAUGGCCUACCAAGGCGACGACGGGUAGCCGGCCUGAGAGGGCGACCGGCCACACUGGGACUGAGACACGGCCCAGACUCCUACGGGAGGCAGCAGGUGGGGAAUCUUGCGCAAUGGGCGAAAGCCUGACGCAGCGACGCCGCGU